rnacentral:lncRNA from 1 species
CCUGCCUCUAGGCUUGCGGAACCAACUGCUGGGAGGCAGCUGGGUUUGCAGAGAGGCCGGUGGUCAGCAGCACCUGUGAGGCUAUCAGUCCCUUCUUGGAACGGUUCUUCAAAAUUUACAGUAUGGAAAGCCCAGCGGUGAUGUUCAAGCCUCUACUGAGAAAACAGCAAGGGCUUUGGAUCAGGACAGACCUGAUGUCCUUGACUUUUGCGUAUGUCCUCUUUGCGUUUUGGAAUCCCAUUCUGGAUACCGCAUCACAUUUAGUCAUCGCAUCUCAUCUCGGCUGUGGCAGAUCCUCUCUUAGGGAGCAAUGCAUAGAGUCUGGGCAUCCCCCAGAGGAAGAAAAUAGAUUCCAGACCUGCUGCUAAUCCUCUCCUUCCCAACUUCCUAAGCCAUUCUUCUCAGUGACAAUUCGAGUGCUACUGCUUGGUGUCACAUCAUUAUAAUCAUGUGAACAAGACCUCAUGAUGCUAUAGUUGCUGCUGGCAGCCAUCUUGUGACCAAAACAAGAAGGGCUUUUAGGAUAAAGGAAACACUCUAGACAGCAGAGGAGAAAGACAAAAACAUCUGUAUCCCUGAUGUCAUAGCUUGAGCCAUGGAAUCAAAUCACCCUGCAGUUGGCUGUUGUACUUCUUGCUAUGUGAAAUAAUACAGUUCCUUAUUGUUUAAGCCUGA